ACAGACAGUGAAGGAGAUCAACCCUUUGAGGUCAGGGCUACAAGGACACAGUGGACAGAACUUUUGUCCAUGGCAGACAGUAUUCAAACGUAAAUUGUAAGAAGCACAGGAAGUGUAUGCAGAACAGAGCUUGUGAGACUGUAGCAAGGAGAACAAGAGAAGGAGGAGGAGAAAGUAAUAACAUAGGUGUGAAGACCUGUCUUUAAUGUAGAUCCUGACUAGGAAAAUCUGAAAUCUAAGAAUGGCUCUGAUACUGCACAACCUAGGACAACCAGUCCCACUGUCUGCCCCAGCCGAGCACCCUGACAAGCACCUGUGGCUCUAGACAGUUGCACUUUGCUCUUAGCUUCCACAUGUCUGGCAUUUCUCAUCUCCUCCUAUAUUUUAACUGUAACUAAAGUGGAGAAUAGAUUGCUGCAUCUGUCUGAGCUGGAAAUAAAAUUUGUCUUGACUUAUCCUUGGGAAACUGUGCAUUAUCAAGGAGGACCUAUAAUUAAGGGACUGUAUGGCUGCAACUGGGGCAGUGUGUUCCCCACCAGCAAAGAAAGAGAAGGACUUGGGUGUUCGGGUGCACAAGUUGUCCAUAAGUCAGCAGUAUAUCCUUUUGAUCAACAAAGCUGAGGAUCUGGGAGACCCUCUAGAGCCUCUAGGAUCUCUAGGAUCUCCUACAGAGAGUCCAGAAGACUGUGACAGGGAUGACAAAGGGCCUGGAGCAUCUUCCAUAUGAGGAAAUGCUGACAGACCUGCAACUCUUCGGUCUGGAGAAGUCUGAGAGGAAUCUCAUAACUCUUUGUCUAAAGUGCAGGAGUCAAGUCAGUAGGGAUGAACUCUUUUCAGUGCUGUGCAACAGUAGAACAGGGGGCAACAGGCAGAAACUGAAAAACAGGACGUUUCAUCUGAACAUGAGAAAGAACUUCUUACUUAGAGGAUGACAGAGCACUGGAGAAGGUUGCUCAGAGUGGAUGUGGAGUCACCUUCUCUGGAGAUAUUCAAAGGUCACUUGGACACUUUCCUGUGUAACCUACCAUAGAGAACCUGCUUUAACAAGGAAUCGGAUCUGAUUAUCUCCAGAGGUUCCAUCCAAACCCUACAAUUCUAUGAUUCUGUGAUUCUCCGAUGUGCUGCUAGAUAACCUUCAGAUCUUUAAUAUUAACCUUAUCUUUCAUGCUUUGAAAUUAAUAUUUAUCAGGUAGAAUUUCCUCUCAUAUACCAUCAUCCUACCUAGGCUGUACACCUCUACACAGAGCACAAGAGAUUUAUUCUAUACCUGUGAUUUGGCUAUAUUUAAAAUAUAAAUCUGAUUAUUUUUCAUUACUGAGCAACUUCAGAGAGAUACUUAAAAAUGUAGCUGCUGUAUUUUAAUGAUCAUUGUUUCUUAAUAGGAAUAGCUGGCUUAUGUAGAGCUUAAAGACUUUAGUCAUCCCUUUAAUAACUUGUUUCAGUGUCAGUGGCUUAAAAACUAUGCCUCUGGUAUUACAUUGUGCCCAACCAGUGCAACAGGUUCCUGUGCAGGUUCAUAGAACUUUUAAUUUUUAGUCACUUUACUGGAUUUGCUCAGUUGCACUUUCACAGCUCCUUUAGGGUUUCAAAGAGUUUUCAUCUCUUUGACUCGACACUAAGGAGUGUUGGUGCUGUCUGGAGAAUGCUGCAAUUCUUUCUUGCCACACAGUGGCAUGAAGACCUAGAAGUGGAAUAGUUAACUGACAUAUGGCUUAUCUUUGAAGGUUAAAUCUCAGAGAAUAUGAAACACUGACAUAGCAUUUGGCUACUCUUGCUCAUCUUCAUUCCACUCCUGACUUUCAAAGUUAGAGGAACUCAAAAUCUCAAAACAAAAUGAUUAAUUGUAUACAGAAAGAUCACAGACAGAUUCUUAUGAGUAGGUAGAGCAAAGGUAAAGUGCAGAGCUAAAAUCCUUGCUGUUUGUGUGGGGUACUUUGAUCCUAACAACUUUUUCUAGAUUACCAUGACUCAACAUACCAGACGCAUAUCGCCCAGGCUAAGCAGGAACUCACUGCCAGUUCUAGAUUCAAUGCUUUUGGCCACAUCACUUGAAGUCUGAAGCUUUGCAUAUAGAUAUUUAUGUGUUUGCUUUUAUUAAAGAAACAGGACCACUGAUUUAUCCCACUAGACUGCAAAGAUCCGAUAUUACUAAGCUAUAUAAUAAAACACAUGAUACUAUCUCUUUUCACCUUUUCAAUAUUAAAACAGAACUCUCAUUUUAUACGUUGAAAAUACAUUGCACUGUAUUGCCACAGUCAAGAAGACACCAGAAUACAAAAGUUCUUGGAAAGAUUACUGUAACAUUUUGUGAUUUGUAUAAAAUAGAUGGGUUUUUUCUUCUAUUUGUUGCAAAUGUUUGUCAUUAUCUAAAAUAAUUGCCAUGACUCAUUAUCUUCCACAGGCAUAAAACAAAAUUGUGUUUGGUCAAUGUGAGUAUGAAAAAUUACAGGAAAAAAGAGAGAAGUGCAAGGAGUGAGAGCUACAGACAACGUCUAUAAUCUUUCAACUUCAUCCAUCGCUUUUCUACUUAGCAAGAAUAGCUCAGAUUUCAAAACUUUUUUUUUCUUUUUUUUUUUUUUAAGAAAAUAUUUCACAAAGCUCUGGGAGAGGGAGAAUUGUUCUGAUGUUUCAGACACAAUUUUUAUUACUGAAAGAACCAGACCUGAGACCUUCUUUGGUUUCAUCCAGAGCAGAUGCUUUCACCCACAGAGCUUCAAACUAAAUCACAUCAGAUAAGGAAGACCUAAAGUCACUCUCCUUUUCCAACAUCAAGUUAGACAACAGAAACUACACAGAAAUUAUUUUAUAGUAAAAUUUUCCAGAUCUAUCCAAGUUAAAGAAGGAAAAAGAAAUUUAAGAAGCAAUGAAUAUCAGGGUAUUCAGACAUAAAAUUAUUACAAAAGUAUAGCAGACUAAGCUCAAAGCAAGGGGAAGUGGUAGCUUAAGUUAGUUAACAGGAAGAACAUCUCCUUUGUACACGUAUUUGGAGCUGAAUUUUGAACAUUAAAAAAAUGUACAUAAAUCACGGGAUGAGUGGUUUUCCCCAAAAACUUAAAAAGAAAGAUCAUCUUGAGUGAGAUCACAUAGUAUGUCUGGGACAACCAGGGGAUCAGGCCCAGCCAGCCUGGGUUCAUGAAAGGCAGAACCUGCUUGACCAACCUCCUCUCCUUCUAUGAGCAGGUGACCCACCUGGUGGAUGAGGAAAAUGCUGUUUACAUAGUCUACCUAGACUUCAUCACAACCUCUGACACAGUAUUCUCCUGGAGAAGCUGGCAGUCCAUGGCCUGGAAAGGUACACUCUUUCCUGGGCUAAGAACUGGCUGGAAGACUGGGCCUGGAGAAGUGGGGAAUGGAGUUAAAUCCAGCCAGCAACCGGUCACGAGUUGUAUUUCCCAGGAACAGUAUUGGGGUCUGUCCUGUUCCAUAUCUUUUUUGAUUACCUGGAUGAGGAGAUUGAGUAUGCCCCCAGGAAGUUUACAGGUGGUCUGGACAGGCUGGAUAGCUGGGAUGAAGCCAGUGGAUUGAAGUUCAACGAGACCAAGUGCCAGGUCCUUCAGUUCAUCCACAGUAUCCUCAGGUAAUGCUACAGACUUGGGUAGAGUGCAUGGAAGACUGCAUGGAAGAAACAGACCUGGGGGUAUUGGUCAACACCUGUCUAAACAUGAACAAGCAGUGUGCCCAGGUGGCCAACAAGGCCAAGGAUAUCCUGUCUCAUAUCAGAAAUAGUGAUGCCAGCAGGAGCAGGAAGGUGAUGAUCCCCCUGUAUUCAACCCUGUGAAGCUGCACCUCGAGCAUUGUGCACAGUCUUAGCACCUCCUCACCACCAAGCAAGAAAGGCAUAGAGGCACUCAAGCACAACCAGAGAAGGGCAACAAAGCUGAUGAGAGGUUUGAAGCACAAGUCUUAUGAGGAGUGGCUGAGAGAACUGGGAUUGUUUAGCCCGGGCAAAAGGAGGCUCCAGGGAGACCUUAUUGCUCUCUACAGCUACUUGAAACAAGGUUGUGGUGAGGUGGGAGUCAGCCUCUUUUCCCAUGUAGGACUAGAAAGAAUGGCCUUGAGUUGCUUCAGGCAAGGUUCAGGUUGGACGUUAGCAAAACUUCUUCUCCAGAAGUGUGAUCAGGCACUGAAAUGAGUUGAGUCACCAUUUCUGGAGAUGUUCAAGAAACAUUCUGAUGUUGUACCAAGGGACUUGGUUUAAUGGGAAAAUAUUGGUAGUAGGUGAAUUGUUGGAUUGGAUGAUCUUGGAGGUAUUUUCCAACCUGGGUGAAUCCGUGGUUCUAUGAUUUUAUGAUUCUAUGAAAGACAGUUUUACUCACAGGGUCAUGGUGUGAGAGGUAACAUUUCUCAAGGUCCUAUUAUAUGCUAUAAUUUUCAACAUCAUUAAUUUUGCAAAUGAUCUCAGGCUGUGUAUGUCAAUUUCAUGACUUCUGAGGACAAUAUAAGUGAUAGAAAUUGUCAAAAAAAAAAAAAGGAUGAUUUUUUCUUUAAAAACUACUUAGCUGUUACAAGCUGACAUCUCGUUACUCCUUGCAAAUGAAAUGGCCACGGAUUACUUUCCAUUGUACAGAAUAAAAGUGUCUUGCAGCACAUUUUAGUCAAUGUUGUUUACUGUAUUGACAAAAACAUUUGUGUAUGUAAGUAUUUGAAACAAGCAAAUUCUUCUUUGUUCCUACACAGUUAUAUUUUUCAGCACUGAAAAAAACUAACAGAACAAGAAAAUAAAGUAUAUAGAAUCAUAGAAUCACAGAGGUUGAAAAAGACCCACAGGAUCGUCCAGUCCAUCACUGAUCCAUCCACCCAUCACCGAUGGAUCUCACUAUGAUCAGUUCUAUAUGAUUCCAGGUUACUCUAUUUGAAAUGUUGUCUCUAUCUGAAAAGCUUUAAUGCAAAUAUCUAUGUAUAGAUAAGUCUGUAGAGCAAUAGAUUUUAGGCAAAAGACAGUUGAGAGUAGAUAAAUUAAUCUGGUACAAAACUGAAGACUUCUUGGAUACUGCCCACCAUUUGUAAAUAUUAUCCAUUUGGAUGUCCAUGGAAACAGUAACAUACGAGAAACAUCCAGAAUUCUACAACUGGUAUUAUUCUUGUGUUUGAAUAAACAUUUCUUUUUCUAACCACAAUCCAUUCAUUUAUUUGCUUGUGCUCUUAUUUCCUUUGGAUUCUCCAACUGUUAUGGAAAAUUCCAGAGCCAAACAGCAGGCGUAAGGAAAAAAAAUGACAGUUUCCAUUUAAAACUCUGUCAUUGGAAUGGCAUGUUGUAAACGUAUGGGUCUCUCUGGAUCCACCGUGGAACAGGUGGAAUAGUGGUUGUCAGCAGUAUUAACACUAUCUGUGGCAUUUGUAACAUGCUAAUCGGUAUCUCAGCAAUAAAAUAGUUUUAGAAGAUGUAGAAACAAAA